rnacentral:rRNA from 1 species
GACGAACCGUGCGAACGUUGUUCGGAAUCACUGGGCUUAAAGGGCGCGUAGGCGGUCCGACAAGUCAGGGGUGAAAUCCUGCAGCUUAACUGCAGAAGUGCCUUUGAUACUGUCGGUCUUGAGGGAGAUAGGGGUGUGCGGAACUCACAGUGGAGCGGUGAAAUGCGUUGAUAUUGUGAGGAACGCCGGAGGCGAAAGCGGCGCACUGGAUCUCUUCUGACGCUGAGGCGCGAAAGCUAGGGGAGCAAACGGG